rnacentral:rRNA from 1 species
GAUGAACGCUGGCGGCGUGCCUAAUACAUGCAAGUCGAGCGAAUGGAUUAAGAGCUUGCUCUUAUGAAGUUAGCGGCGGACGGGUGAGUAACACGUGGGUAACCUGCCUGUAAGACUGGGAUAACUUCGGGAAACCGGAGCUAAUACCGGAUACUUUCUUUUCUCGCAUGCGGGAAGAUGGAAAGAUGGUUCUGCUAUCACUUACAGAUGGACACGCGGCGCAUUAGCUAGCUGGUGAGGUAACGGCUCACCAAGGCGACGAUGCGUAGCCGACCUGAGAGGGUGAUCGGCCACACUGGGACUGAGACACGGCCCAGGCUCCUACGGGAGGCAGCAGUAGGGAAUCUUCCGCAAUGGACGAAAGUCUGACGGAGCAACGCCGCGUGAGCGAAGAAGGCCUUCGGGUCGUAAAGCUCUGUUGUUAGGGAGGAACAAGUACGAGAGUAACUGCUCGUACCUUGACGGUACCUAACCAGAAAGCCACGGCUAACUACGUGCCAGCCGCCGCAGUAA